rnacentral:lncRNA from 1 species
UUAGACUGUUCAAGAAAGAUACUGAAGUGCUUGUCUACAUUAGGAAGACAGUAAAGUCUCUAUCACUUUAAGUCUUCAAGACUAGCCUGGAGAAACACAUCUGGAAUAACAUACAUAUGGCCGGUCUUGCUGUAGGCACUGUAGUGUGGUGACUUUUCUGCCUGAUCAGCUUUCAUGUAUAUUAAGCAACAGUGUGACUGAUAAUGGUACCUUUCCAUCCCAAAUUACAUUACAAGAGUGAAUAAAAUCAGUAAUGUUUGAGAAGCUUAUAGAAAAGGAAAGGCAAGCCAAGUAGAAGUUAAACAUAAGCUUUGUUCCCUCUGUAGGUGCUCAAUGGUAAGUAUUGAUCAGCAGUCUUUCCCAUGAACACGUUAAUCAACUGGAGUGGUGAACAGAGGAACAAGGAGGCUGAACAUCACUGUGUUCAGUGGAAAAUUGCUAUGGGUUUUUGACUUGCCAAAACCAUCUGCUCCGAAGUUGUCUUCAUCUGUGAACACCUGAUGAAAUGACAUGUCAGAAGGUGAGCUGAAUCUUGACAUGUAAGAAUACCUCUUUCCUCAGUCAGCCUGCUUCUGAGUUAUGUUGUCUAGCUUUGUUCCAUGACACUUGCAUAAAGUUCACAUACUCUUUAUUCUAGCAGUGCCAUUGCUCUAAGCAGUACACAGUACUUCAGAAGGCUUGAACAUUUUUCUCCUCUGGUGCUCAGUGAGGUGCCUGCAAGUUCUUUUUAUGAUUUAAUGUCAGAUAAUAGCUAGCGUUCCAUUUUAACACUCAUAGAAUCUCAUUAAAUGCUGUUUCUUUAUAAUAGGUGAUGCUUUCACAAAAGAAAUUGUUUCAGACUCAUUUGAAAAGCUGACUUUCAACAUGAGACUCUCACUCCAGCCACAAGUUCUGUUUUGACUCAUUUUUAGUAUCAAAUUUACCUGAAGCUUCUUGUGAGGUUCUAAAUUGCACCAAAAUUUACCAGCCCUGCCUACAAGUCUGCUAUCAGUGCUGAACAAAGUAGAUGCAGUGCAACACCAUGAAGGACUGUUUUUGCAAGACUCACUUAGAUCAGAAGUGAAAGUUUCUGAAAGUGUGUAAAGAGCUUUUAGUCAAAUACUGAAAGUGGAGGCAAUUAAGUAACUUCAAACAAGUGCUUACGCUUGUCAGCAUUGAGUUGGUUUCUAAUUUUCCUUGAAAGGAGAUUAGAAAAAUGUUUGAUUAUAAUAUUUUAAAAAUGUUGGCAUUCUAUGCACGG